UACGAAGGGGGCUAGCGUUGCUCGGAAUCACUGGGCGUAAAGGGUGCGUAGGCGGGUCUUUAAGUCAGGGGUGAAAUCCUGGAGCUCAACUCCAGAACUGCCUUUGAUACUGAGGAUCUUGAGUUCGGGAGAGGUGAGUGGAACUGCGAGUGUAGAGGUGAAAUUCGUAGAUAUUCGCAAGAACACCAGUGGCGAAGGCGGCUCACUGGCCCGAUACUGACGCUGAGGCGCGAAAGCGUGGGUAGCAAACGGG
rnacentral:rRNA from 1 species